rnacentral:misc_RNA from 1 species
GAUGAAAACGUAGCGAAAUGCGAUAAGUAAUGUGAAUUGCAGAAUUCAGUGAAUCAUCGAGUCUUUGAACGCACAUUGCGCCCCCUGGUAUUCCGGGGGGCAUGCCUGUCCGAGCGUCAUUGCUGCCCUCAAGCACGGCUUGUGUGUUGGGCCUCCGUCCUCCUCCCGGGGGACGGGCCCGAAAGGCAGCGGCGGCACCGCGUCCGGUCCUCGAGCGUAUGGGGCUUCGUCACCCGCUCUUGUAGGCCCGGCCGGCGCUUGCCGACACAUCAAUCUUUUUUCCAGGUUGACCUCGGAUCAGGUAGGGAUACCCGCUGAACUUAAGCAUAUAAUAAGCGGAGGA